GCGCGCACCCCCCCCACCACCAGCCAUGUCGCGACAGCGCCCCGCGCACCUGCCGCGUCCCCCGACCCGCCGCGUCCUACCGGGGGUACGGGCAAAGGGGCGCUCGGCUCUCCCUCGGUUCUCCCUGCCCGCGGGAGGCAGCGCGGUGCCGGCGCUGCCCCAGGUUGAUGCUGGUGCCUGUUAGCCUCGGGAGGGGACCGGAGCUGCCCGGCCAUCCAGGCCCAAUCCUGCAAUGACGGUGGAUCAUCUCCCUUCUCUCUCCCGUUCGUGCUUUGGGGUUGAAGUACCUGUGCUCUGCCCCUCUCAUUUUCAAGUGCCCGUGAAAUGAGCUGUGUAUCUACAGAUCAGUGUUUCAGAUAACCUCUGCUAUUAUUUUAUCAAAACUUUCAGGAGUUUUGUAGAAAUUAGUAAUGAUUUUAGCUGAAAAGAGUUAAUAAAGUGAGAAACAGUUUAUCCUUCUUUC